GAUGAACGUUGGCGGUGCGCCUAAUACAUGCAAGUCGAACGGAGACUGUAGCAAUACUGUCUUAGUGGCGAACGGGUGAGUAACGCGUUGGUGAUCUGCCUCGAAGUGUGGAAUAACGUUCCGAAAGGAGCACUAAUACCGCAUGGUCUUCUGGUUUUUAGAACGCCAGAUGUAAAGGAUUUAUUCGCUUCGAGAGGAGCCUGCGUCCCAUCAGCUAGUUGGUAAGGUAAUGGCUUACCAAGGCGAUGACGGGUAGGGGACCUGAGAGGGUGGCCCCCCACAAUGGAACUGAAACACGGUCCAUACACCUACGGGUGGCAGCAGUAGGGAAUAUUAGUAAUGGGCGAAAGCCUGAACUAGCGACACCGCGUGUGCGAAGAAGGCCUUCGGGUUGUAAAGCACUUUUAGAGAGGAUGAGGAAGGACGGUACUCUCUGAAUAAGUCUCGGCUAACUACGUG
rnacentral:rRNA from 1 species